rnacentral:lncRNA from 1 species
AGGGUGCCCUGCCAGACUGAGGGGAUUGUCCCCUUUGUGACUGGGAGUGCCUGGUGGUGUCUCUUGCCUGCUCAUGAGGAGUUCUCUGUGUCCCUUGAGGCCUGGAUCCUGACUCUCCAUGUUGAGAUCGCUGAGGAGAUCUUGCUUGUCCCUGUGGGCCUUGAGAAUGCUCCUCUGUGUCGCUGGCCUGGCCGUGAGACUGUGCCCUUCUGGCAGGUGCUCCUGAGCCAGACUGUGGGGACUGUCCAUGAGGCUGCUGGCCAUGUCGGGAGGUAUCUCUCGAUUGCUGAUGUGGAGUUUGUUGUCUUCGCUGAGGCCUGGAUCCUGACUCUCCAUGUUGGGACCUGGUGUGGCGCUGAGGAGACCUUGAUUGUCCCUGUGGGGCUUGGGAAUGCUCCUCUGUAUCGCUGGCCUGGCUGUGAGACUGUGCCCUUCUGGCAGGUGCUCCUGAGGCAGACUGUGGGGACUGUCCAUGAGCCUGCUGGCCAUGUCUCGAGGUAUCUCUUGACUGGUGCUGUGGAGUUUGCUGUCUUCCCUGAGGUCUGGACGGCGACUGGCCAUGUUGAGACCCGGUGUGGCGCUGAGGAGACCUUGAUUGUCCCUGUGGGGCUUGGGAAUGCUCCUCUGUAUCGCUGGCCUGGCUGUGAGACUGUGCCCUUCUGGCAGGUGCUCCUGAGGCAGACUGUGGGGACUGUCCAUGAGCUUGCUGGCCAUAUCUCGAGGUAUCUCUGGACUGCUGCUUUGGAGUUUGCUGUCUUCCCUGAGGUCUGGAUGGCGACUGACCAUGUUGAGAGCCAGGCUGGGCCUGAGCGGCUUCUGAGUGUGUGUGUGAGGACUCGGAGUGCUCUUCAGUGCCGCUGGACUCACUGGUCAAUGGGGCCCUUCUCCUAGAGGGUGCCCUGCCAGACUGAGGGGAUUGUCCCCUUUGUGACUGGGAGUGCCUGGUGGUGUCUCUUGCCUGCUCAUGAGGAGUUCCCUGUCUCCCUUGAGGCCUUAAUCCUGCUUCUCCUUGUUGGGAUCUUGUGUGAGUCUGAUGUGAUCCCAAAUUUUCUUCAGAACCUAAGCCAUGUUGUUCAUUCCUUGAAGAGUGAUCUGAAGUACUCCUUUGUGGACCAGAGUGUGAUUUGCUUGUGCCUAACUCAUGUUGUUCAGAGCUUGUUGACUGACUUGAAGUAGAACUAGUUGGUUCCCUGCCUGAAUAGUGACUUGCGCUUGAUCUGUUUUGUCUUGUGACUGAGGAGUGUCCUGUUCCAUGUUGUCCAAUGCCAGAGGACUGACCUGAGCUGGAUACACAGUGACCACUGGACUGUGUUGAUCCAGACCCAUGUUUUCCACAGCAAGAUUGACCUGAGCCACAGCCUUGUUGUCCGUAACCAGAGGACUGACCAGUACCAUACCCACACUGACCAUAACCAGUGGAUUGACUUGAGCCAGACCCAUGUUGUCUACAACAAGAUUGACCUGAGCCACAGCCUUGUUGUCCGUAGGAAGAGGACUGACCAGUACCAUACCCACACUGAGCAUAACCAGUGGAUUGACUUGAUCCAGACCCAUGUUGUCUGCAGCAAGAUUGACCUGAGCCACAGCCUUGUUGUCCAUAGCAAGAGGACUGACUUGAAUGUAUUCUCUGUUGUCCUCCACAGUUCUGUGGCUGACCACACUGUCUAUGUCUGUAUCCUCUCUGACCAGAAGAGUGCCUACAGGAGCUAGGCUCAGAUUGAGGACAUACAGAGGAAUGACCCCCUGAGAUACAUCCCUGACCAUAUUCUCUACUGUUUCCUGAUUGACAACCUGACUGGUUAUAGCUAGAUUGAUUUCCUUGACCUCCAGAUCCACUUGGGUGACAAGAACUAGAAGCAUUUUGUGGUCUUCUACAUUCACCAGAAUUGCUAUAUCCACAUGCAUGACUUUGUCCCUUGCUGCCUUCUAAACCUGCAGAGGUAGAGGCAGGUGUUUGUCCUCCACUCUUUCUUGUCUGAGUAGAAUUUGGUUCAUGUUCAUUUUGUGAAAGACCACCGUGACUUUUCUUUCCCUUGCUCUUUGAUUCAGCUCUAGAUUCAUGUUCCUCCCCAGAUUCCCUAGAGGGGCUAUGAUGUGACUUGCUUCUUCUUUCUCCUAGCCCUCCAGAGCUCAAACCAUGUCUCUCUUUGCUGCUACUCCAGGAGUGACCAUAGCUAGAGCCAUAGUGACUUGUCUCAGAUCCUUCUGAGCUGGACAAUUCACCUUGCCUUCCCAGCCUCCUGGAGUUGGACCCACGUCUACGUUUUGCAGUUCCCCUUGAACCCCCAGAACCAUAACCGUGCUCAUCUCCCUCUCUCCAACUUGAAUGCCUAUAACCUGAUUUCUGUUUUGGUGUCUCCUCUUCUUCCUCUUCUGUUUCACUUUCUUCUUGGUGUCGGUGACCACGCUUAUGUUUCUUUGACCCUGAAGCUUUGCAGUAUUCUCUGCUGAGGACCUUGUUGCAGGCCAUAGCUAGCUUGAAUACCAUCAGAAGAAACUCAGUGAAGUCUAGUCUUCUGUCAUGAUCUCGAUCCAGCAUAUGCAUGAUGACAUCCACUGUGUCUGGAUCAUCUGGGUUCUGUAUAUGAAUGACACAUCAAGGGAGAUCUAGUUAAUCUAGCCCAUAUUCUCUGCUGAAACAUCCAAGUGGGGGUAUGAAUUUGUAUCUAUUUGAUAUUAUGUAAUUUUAGUCCAAAUCAAGGAUUGCUUUGGGUUAAUAGGACCUAGAAAAUAUGAAGUGGUAGUAGAAAAUAAAGACUCCUGGGGUCCUUAGAAGACAUUUCAAGGAUAAGCAAAAGGAUUAAAUGCUCAGGUAUAGCAUAUAGGAAGGAGUGGAGCAACUUAUAUAUCUUAAUUUUGCAGAAAUUUUAAACAUUUAUGUUAAUACAUACUAUGUUAGUACCUAUUAUUUUGCAAUUAAUACCUGAACCCUCCCCAACUUGUUGGAAAAAUGCUUAUACUUUAUUUUCAGUUUUUAAUUAUCUCAGCUAUUUUGUUCUCCCCUUGUAGAUGAUAUCCCUUUCCACCCUCCCUCCAGUGUGAUAGGAUAAUUUAUUAAUUCAUGUUUUAGCAGAUUUAUUUUUUGCUUUUUCAGAAGUGGAAUCCUGAGUAAAUGAGAAAGUUUGAGUGUUUAUAAGGUGGGAGUGCAUAAGAAAUUGAGUAAAAAAAAUUCACCUUUUAAAAAAUAUAUGCUUCAGUAUAAUUUUUUUUUGAGACAGGUCUCAUUAUGUAGUUAAGGCUGGCCUGGACUCACUGUUUACAGGCUGCCUCAAACUCACAGUGAUCCUCCUGCCUCAGCCUCCCAAGUGCUGAGAUUACAGGCAUGCACCACCAUGCCUGGCUGUUUCAGUGUAAUCCAAAUGAUUUGACUCAUGUUGUGAGAUAAAGGUUCAUAAGAAAAGUACUAUGGAAAUUAUAUAGAUAAAUAUUUGCAAAGCUGCUACUGCCAUUGUAUCAGUCUUAUAAUGUAUCCUACCUUUUACUAAUUUUUAUGAUAGAUUUUAUAAUGUAGCCAUUUGAGUACCCUAUAAAUUGUAAGGUUUCAUUAAAGUAUUACUUAUUAAUGCUUCUAAAGAUACAUGCUGACUCAACAGAUUUUAUUAUGUCCCAAAAAUACUACUCAUAAAGUUUUCUCCAAGACCACUGGGGCUGUGUAUAUUUAGCUCAUCUUGUCCUAUAACAGAGCAUCUACAGGACCCCAGUAGCUUUCAGUCCUAGCACAUGGUCCUUACCUUCAGAAUUGGACGAAACUCUUUCUCUAGAAGUUCCUUUAGCUCAUCCUUGCUCAAUGUGCCACAUUCUCCAUCUUGCUUGGUGUAUUUGUAGAAAAUAUCAAUGACGGUGACAACACUUCUUAAGAGGUCUGUCAUCUUUUUCAAAUUUAAGUAAACCUAGAGAGAGAGAGAGGAGAUUCUACCAUCAUUUUCUUUUCUUUUAUCAACAGUUGUCAUCUUUAAUACAAUUUUCAAACCUCUUUUCUCUUUUAAAACUCAGUAAAUAAGAUGGGUUAGGGAUUUAUACCUUUCAACUCAAUGAAGUUUACUAACUUUAAAUUACUUUGCUAAGAUUAAGUCAUGGCAUAUUAUUGGCCCAACUGGGACUAGGUAUCAGAUCUCCAUAUUUCUUGUCCUAAACAAAUAUAGUCUUGUAUAAUGUCUUGGGUGGUUUGUUGUUUUGGGUGUUGUCCUAGGGCUUCGAAAGUUAUCAGAACUGUGCAGACAUCAUUGUCCUAAUCUGUCUUUGUAGUUUUACUGCUGCUUUUUUUUUUUUUC